GACGAACGCUGGCGGCGUGCUUAACACAUGCAAGUCGAACGGAAAGGCCCUGCUUUUGUGGGGUGCUCGAGUGGCGAACGGGUGAGUAACACGUGAGUAACCUGCCCUUGACUUUGGGAUAACUUCAGGAAACUGGGGCUAAUACCGGAUAGGAGCUCCUGCUGCAUGGUGGGGGUUGGAAAGUUUCGGCGGUUGGGGAUGGACUCGCGGCUUAUCAGCUUGUUGGUGGGGUAGUGGCUUACCAAGGCAUUGACGGGUAGCCGGCCUGAGAGGGGGACCGGCCACAUUGGGACUGGGAUACGGCCCAGACUCCUACGGGAGGCAGCAGUGGGGAAGAUUGCACAAUGGGCGGAAGCCUGAUGCAGCAACGCCGCGUGCGGGAUGACGGCCUUCGGGUUGUAAACCGCUUUCGCCUGUGACGAAGCGUGAGUGACGGUAAUGGGUAAAGAAGCACCGGCUAACUACGUG
rnacentral:rRNA from 1 species